UUCUUCUCGUUUCUUCCUCUUUCUUGUUUUCUUUCUUCUUUCUUCUUCUCUCUUUUCCCUUCUUCUCUGUUCUUCUUCUGUUCUGUUCGAUUUGAGAGUUAUGAGUCAUAUUUUGUCGAGGGAAAUCAACUGGUAGUAUUGAUAGAUGAUUGAGAAGAUGGUGUGGUCGUUAAUUGUGAAACAGAAGAAUUAAGGUUUAUCAUAUGGAUCGUUAAUUGAGUUAUUGAUUGAGAGAUUGAAGAAUGGAAUUUGGUGAACACGGUAUGAAGAAGAAGCUUGAGUAUUUGAUGUGUGAGUUUUUAUGGAAGAUUGGAGAAGCUAGGGUUUCUGUUCAUCCCCAGAACAGAUAUUAGGGUUCUUGCAUGCAAUUAAAUCAAGUGACUGAAACUGGAAUUGAGGUUUUGGGGGAGAGAUUAGAGAUGGGUAAAUGUUCAAUUGAAGUUUUGAAGUGAAUCCAGUGAUGUAUUGGAGAAUUUGGGUUAAGGUUUCUGUAUUGUCUUUUGGAACUUGUUUUGGAUAAGGAUUAAAAAGAAAUUAACAAAUGGGUUUGUCCUUAAUUGAUGAUGGUUGAAGCCAUGAGCUGAGGAAGAUGAUUUAAUCAAAGAAUCAGAGAUGCAUUUUGGUGUUAAGGCUAAUAAAGUUUAGAAAGAAGUUUCUUUGAGGUAAUUGUUCUCUGAGUUGAUUUAGUAAAGUUAUUUAUUUUAUUGAUUAAGUAUAUGCAAUUGGUAAUUGAGUUAAGAAUGGUUGGGUGUUUGAGUAGAUGUUGUAUGAAUGGGGAUUACAGGUAGUGGUGGUGUUAUUAUUGUUGUUGUGUGUUGUAGAAUGCAGGGGAGGAAUUGGAGGUUUGUUCUGGUUCACAGGAAGUUGUGAUGAAUUUGGUGGAUGGUUGUUAUCUGAAUUGAGAAUGAUAUUAAUGUUGUAAGAGUUGUAUUCGGAGCUGAAAUGCGUGCGUGUUUGGAACUGUAGGUACAGGUAGAGAAGUGGUGAACUAUUAUGAUGAAUGUUACAUGGGCUAAGUGGUUGCAGUUCAUGGGAAUAGAAUUAAUGAUUGAGAGGAGACGUAGCAGUGAUUGGAUUGUAGAUUUAGAGUGACUGGUGCUAUGUGGAUUGUUGGUUUAAGCAUUAUAGCCGGAGUUGUAACUACAGAGGUGAAGUGAAAGUUGUAAUAUGUUUUCAGGUGCAGCUAUAGAGUGGGUUGAAGUUCUGGUGGUGGGUUUGAGUAUAGGAUGUUAUAGAAGUGUAUCUAGAUGUACUGGACUUUAGUUAAUGGGCUUGCUUAAUGGACUUGGGCUUUGGGAAGUUUUCUUAAGUAGACAUUUUCUUAAGUAGACAUUUUCGACCUCUUGUGGUCCGAAUUAGCAUUUGAUUUCUGCUAUAAAGUGUAGAUAUUCAUAAGACUUAGCUAGGGGUUAUAGAAUCAAUCUAAUUGUAUUAGUAAUCUCUUGUUAUGUUAAUGGUAGAUAAUAAAAGGUGUAGAAUCAUAAUGGGAUUAGAAUAAUUAGAUAGUUCACUUAGUCUAUAACUAGAGACUUGUAUGAAAUUAUGUUAUGAGCCUUGUGGCUAAAUUCUUAGAAUUCUUGUAUAAUUAACAGUUAAGCUCUAUUAACAACGAUCGAUUCAAAGAACGAACCAGUGGAUCGUAGAUCUCGAGAUAGAUGUGGCUUGUCAUGAAAAGAGUUUCAGAGACAGAUCAGAGUUGCGCAGCGAAAGCUUCAACGGUUGUUUUCGUUAGUUGGUUAACUUCUGCUAUUUUUCAUUAUAUUGUAUAUUUUAUUGUAAACCAAUUGGCUAUUGUAUAAAUAUCAUUUUAGAGGAGUUUUGUAUAUA